GGCACUUCUCCACUGGCAAAGGACGGACGCUGUCAAACCUGGCAGAGCAGAGGUCGUGAGUUCGAAACAUGGGGCUCUUGGAAGGCAAGAAUUUAUUCUUGAAAGGCAAGGGAACAUUUGGAAGGCAAUGAUUUAUUCUUGGAAGGCAAGUGGGAACUUGGAAGGCAAGGAUUAUUCUUGGAAGGCAAGGUGCAACUUGGAUUGACUUGCUUGGCACUUUGUCAGACCAGGUGGGGAGCGCUCAGACCCUGGCCAGUUGGAGGCACAUCCUGCGAUUAACCGGACUGUGUGAAGAGGGGCCGGAUCACAGACCCAAGAAUUAGUCUAGAAUAGGACACCUUGUAAAAAAAAAAAAAAAAAAAGAAUUGAAGGAAAACUAUUUUUUUUAGAGUAGAUAAAUCAUCACAUGAUUCUCCAAUUUCCCCCAACAAGACUCAGUGAUAUUGAGCAAGCACACUUACUUAUGGUACAACACACGGCCUCAAGCUGCUAUGCGAUAUCCCUCAAUUGUUUGCACCAUCUCAGCUGAUUGAGAAAUUACAUAAGUACCUUUACUUUCUACAUAGAUUUGAUGGAAAUUACCUAUUCAACAGCUUGAAGUCGUUGUAAAGAAGUGGUUUGGCUCGCCCCCCAGGGCACUUCUCCACUGGCAAAGGACGGACGCUGUCAAACCUGGCAGAGCAGAGGUCGUGAGUUCGAAACAUGGGGCUCUUGGAAGGCAAGAAUUUAUUCUUGAAAGGCAAGGGAACAUUUGGAAGGCAAUGAUUUAUUCUUGGAAGGCAAGUGGGAACUUGGAAGGCAAGGAUUAUUCUUGGAAGGCAAGGUGCAACUUGGAUUGACUUGCUUGGCACUUUGUCAGACCAGGUGGGGAGCGCUCAGACCCUGGCCAGUUGGAGGCACAUCCUGCGAUUAACCGGACUGUGUGAAGAGGGGCCGGAUCACAGACCCAAGAAUUAGUCUAGAAUAGGACACCUUGUAAAAAAAAAAAAAAAAAGAAAG
rnacentral:lncRNA from 1 species